rnacentral:rRNA from 1 species
GACGAACGCUGCGGCGUGCUUAACACAUGCAAGUCGAACGAAGAGCGAUGGAAGCUUGCUUCUAUCAAUCUUAGUGGCGAACGGGUGAGUAACGCGUAAUCAACCUGCCCUUCAGAGGGGGACAACAGUUGGAAACGACUGCUAAUACCGCAUACGAUCUAACCUUGGCAUCGAGGAUGGAUGAAAGGUGGACUCUAUUUAUAAGCUAUCACUGAAGGAGGGGAUUGCGUCUGAUUAGCUAGUUGGAGGGGUAACGGCCCACCAAGGCGAUGAUCAGUAGCCGGUCUGAGAGGAUGAACGGCCACAUUGGGACUGAGACACGGCCCAGACUCCUACGGGAGGCAGCAGUGGGGAAUCUUCCGCAAUGGACGAAAGUCUGACGGAGCAACGCCGCGUGAGUGAUGACGGCCUUCGGGUUGUAAAGCUCUGUUAAUCGGGACGAAAGGCCUUCUUGCGAAUAGUGAGAAGGAUUGACGGUACCGGAAUAGAAAGCCACGGCUAA